rnacentral:rRNA from 1 species
UACGUAGGGGGCGAGCGUUGUCCGGAUUCAUUGGGCGUAAAGCGCGCGUAGGCGGCUCGACAAGUCGGCCGUGAAAUCUCCAGGCUCAACUUGGAGGGGUCGGGCGAGACUGUCGGGCUCGAGGUGGGCAGAGGGCAGUGGAAUUCCGGGUGUAGUGGUGGAAUGCGUAGAGAUCCGGAGGAACACCGGUGGCGAAGGCGGGUCUCUGGGCCGAUACUGACGCUGAGGAGCGAAAGCGUGGGGAGCGAACAGG